rnacentral:lncRNA from 1 species
CUUCAUUCUGAAGGAAUUUUGCAUGCCUGUACAGAUCAAAUGCUUUUUAACAUUUUCAGAAAGUACUUCUCUUGCAUACUUCACUGAUCCUUUUUGUAUUCCAUACAAAAUAACUAGGGAAUCAAUUACUUCUAGUAAAAAAGAGCAGAGCCCUUGCUUCCUAUCCCUUUUCCAGCUCCAGUGGGAAGAACUGUUGCCUUCUCUGUUCAGUUUGCAGUGGUCAGACUGGGCAGGCUCCAAACAUCUGCUGGCCACGGGUGUGUCCAGACUCAGAGCCGAGGGGAUGGCACACUCUGCUGCAGGGGGAUCCCUGGCUGUGUGUGUGUGUGUGUGUCCCUGUGGUGUGUUCAGACUCAGAGCUGAGGGGAAGGCACACUGUGCUGCAGGGGAUCCCUGGCUCUGUGUGUGUGUGUCCCUGUGCUGUGUUCACUCUCUCACUCUGCUGCAGGGGGAUCCCUGGCUGUGUGUGUGUGUGUCCCUGUGCUGUGUUCACUGUCACACUCUGCUGCAGGGGAUCCCUGGCUGUGUGUGUGUGUGUCCCUGUGGUGUGUUCACUGUCACACUGCUGCAGGGGAUCCCUGGCUGUGUGUGUGUGUGUCCCUGUGGUGUGUUCACUGUCACACUGCUGCAGGGGAUCCCUGGCUCUGUGUGUGUGUCCCUGUGGUGUGUUCACUCUCACACUGCUGCAGGGGAUCCCUGGCUCUGUGUGUGUGUCCCUGUGGUGUGUUCACUCUCACACUGCUGCAGGGGAUCCCUGGCUCUGUGUGUGUGUCCCUGUGGUGUGUUCACUGUCACACUGCUGCAGGGGAUCUGCCCCAGCUGACAGGGCUGCACUGGCUGGGCUUGGCUCCAAGUGCUUCCCAGGACUGCCUGGGCUGGGCCUGCUUGCUCCCAGCUUGGACCCAGUCUCCCACCAUCAGUACUUGGUGGCAGAAAGCUGGCCUGUAAUUUGCAGUAAGUGCAUUCCAUCACCUGCUGAGAGAAGCAGGGUGACCUGGUUAAAUGCAC